rnacentral:piRNA from 1 species
UGAGAAGCCGUCAAGGAUUGUGGUGGA